AUUGAACGCUGGCGGCAGGCCUAACACAUGCAAGUCGAGCGAGCGGCGGACGGGUGAGUAAUGUCUGGGAAACUGCCUGAUGGAGGGGGAUAACUCCUGGAAACGGUAGCUAAUACCGCAUACCAUCAGAUGUGCCCAGAUGGGCUUAGCUAGUAGGUGGGGUAACGGCUCACCUAGGCGACGGUCCCUCGCUGGUCUGAGAGGAUGACCAGCCACACUGGAACUGAGACACGGUCCAGAAGCCUACGGGAGGCAGCAGUGGGGAAGAUGGCACAAUGGGCGCAAUCCUGAUGCAGCCAUGCCGCGUGUAUGAAGAAGGCCUUCGGGUUGUAAAGUACUUUCAGCGGGGAGGCGUUACCCGCAGAAGAAGCACCGGCUAACUCCGUGCCAGCAGCCGCGGUAAUUC
rnacentral:rRNA from 1 species